rnacentral:rRNA from 1 species
AAUUCGAUGAUACGCGAGGAACCUUACCUAGGCUAGAAUGUGAAGGAAUGUAUCAGAAAUGGUGCAGUCAGCAAUGACCUGAAACAAGGUGCUGCAUGGCUGUCGUCAGCUCGUGCCGUGAGAUGUUGGGUUAAGUCCCGCAACGAGCGCAACCCUCGUUCUCAGUUGCCAGCAUUUAGUUGGGCACUCUGGGGAGACCGCCGGUGACAAACCGGAGGAAGGUGGGGAUGACGUCAAGUCAUCAUGCCCCUUACGCCCUGGGCUACACACGUACUACAAUGGUUGGGACAGAGAGUUGCCAACUCGCGAGAGUGAGCUAAUCUCGUAACCCAGCCUCAGUUCAGAUUGCAGGCUGCAACUCGCCUGCAUGAAGGCGGAAUCGCUAGUAAUCGCAGGUCAGCAUACUGCGGUGAAUACGUUCCCGGGCCUUGUACACACCGCCCGUCACACCAUGGGAGCUGGUCACGCCCGAAGUCGUUAUCCUAACCUUUUGGAGGGAGACGCCUAAGG